rnacentral:rRNA from 1 species
UACGGAGGGUGCGAGCGUUGUCCGGAAUCACUGGGCGUAAAGGGCGCGUAGGCGGCGCGGGGAGUCAACGGUGAAAGCUCGGCGCUCAACGCCGAGUCGGCCGUCGAUACUCCCGUGCUCGAGCACUGUAGAGGCAGGUGGAAUUCCGGGUGUAGGCGGUGGAAUGCGUAGAGAUCCGGAAGAACACCGGUGGCGAAGGCGGCCUGACUGGGCCAGUAGCUGGACGCUGAGGCGGCGGCAGCGU